rnacentral:lncRNA from 1 species
GUGGUUUUCCACUUUAAUUUUGAGUGUGAUUCCAAAUCUAGACCUCCAUGGGUUGAUAAAUUGGAUUUCCAUUGAUUAUUUUUGUGUGAUUUUGUUGUCAGCACAUUCAACUAUGUAAAGAAAUAAGUAUUUAAUAAGAUUAUUUCAUUCAUUCAGAUCUAGGAUGUGUUAUUUUAGUGUUCCCUUUAUUUUUUGUGCAGUGUAUAUAACAGAAAAAAUGUUAGCUGUUAUCCUGUUAAUCUCACUCUUAACAACUUAUUAGUUAAUAGUUACUGUAUUUCUGACUGCUAUUCUUUCUUUUUGCAACAUGAAAUCCCUAUCAGUUAGCUUGUGCAACAUUCAGGGCCUAAACUCAUCAACCUUUGGACUGAAGAGUUUAGCACUGGCGUUCAACAAAAAUCGUAAAGAUGUUAACGUCAUCAUUCUGCAGGAGACAUGGUGUAAGGCUGACAUUGUCACUCACUGUCCCACAGGCUUCAGAGAGGUCAUUGUGCCAUCACAAAAACACAGCUCCGUCAAUAGAGGCAGAGACUCUGGAGGAUUGAUCAUUUGGUACAAAUCCGAACUACAACAUCUAAUUUAUCCCCUCAAAAUUGGCAAAUAUCACAUUUGGUUAAAACUGAAAAAAGAACUUAUACUGACAGAAAAAUAUGUGUUCCUUUGCACAAUAUAUACCCCCCGCUCAGAAUCCCCAUAUUACUUAGAGGUGAUCUUCCCCACCCUUGAGGAAGAGAUGUGCCAUUUCCAGGUGCAGGGAAAUUUGCUCAUCUGUGGGGACACAAAUGCGCGCACAGGAACACUACCUGAUCUAACGAGCACACGAGGGGACAGCUUUAUUACAGGCCAUACUGUUUCUAACUGUCUUAAUCUCACCCAUAGAAACAACAGUGACAGCACCGUCAACAAAAACGGAAGGGAUCUUUUGCAGCUCUGUAGAAGCCUGGGUCUGUACUUUGUCAAUGGUAGGUUACGGGGGACUCUUUGGGGAGAUUCACCUACUGCUCACCUCUUGGCCACAGUACAGUAGACAAAUGAUCACAGACAUUGACCCUUUCUCUCUCAGCUCAUUCACUGUCAAGUCACUAACACCGCUGUCUGAUCACAGCCAAAUUACGUUGUUCCUCAAAAGAACAGACAAUGGAAACAACCACACAAUCACAGCCCAGUAAGCUGUACAACAUCAGAAAUUCAUACAAAAUAUCCAAACACUCUUAGAUAACUUUCUGGAUACCACAUUUACUCACAGUAAAGAAGGAAUCAAUCUAGCAGUACAAAACAUCAACUAUAUAUUCAGGCAAACGGCAAAAGAAGCACAAUUGAAAUUGAUAAAAAAGAUCACAGAUGACAACUGGUUUGAUGCAGAUUGUAAAAUUCUAAGGAAAAAACUUAGAACACUAUCCAACCAAAAGCACAGAGACCCAAAUAAUGGUGAAUUACGCCUUCAUUACUGUGAGACUUUAAAACUCUAUAAACGUACACUCAGAACCAAAAAAGCACAGUGCAACAGCAAGCAACUGACACUAAUUGAGGAGUCCAUAAACACAAACAACUUCUGGCAAAAUUGGAAAAAACAAAAAAAAUCUCAACAAGAGGAAUUAGCGAUACAAAAUGGUGAUUUAUGGACAACCCAUUUUAAAACACUCUACAACACCGUUCAAAUUGACACAAACGCAGAACAACGCCAAAUUCAUGACAAGUUGAAUGGAUUAGAAAAAGCUGUAAUGGACAAUCAAAAUCCAUUGGACUCCCCAAUUACUGACCAGGAGCUCUAUAAGAAACUUCAGGCUCUCAAAUUUAAAAAAGCAUGCGGACCUGAUGGCAUCCUAAAUGAGAUGCUCAAACUCACUAGUGCAACAUUUCAAUUGGCUAUAUUAAAACUGUUUAAUUUGAUCCUGAGUGUAGGUUAUUUCCCUGACAUCUGGAAUCAAGGACUCAUAACCCCAAUCUUUAAGAACGGAGACAAAUUUGACCCUAACAAUUACAGAGGCAUUUGUGUGAACAGUAACCUGGGGAAGGUUUUCUGUAGUAUUAUCAAUGUAAGAGUUCUAAACUUCCUUAAUAAGCACAAUGUCUUGAGUAAAAGCCAAAUUGGAUUUAUACCAAAACAUCGCACAACUGAUCAUAUUUACACCCUACACAGCCUGAUAGAUAAACAUGUCCACCAAAAUAAUACCAAAUGAUAUGCUUGCUUUAUCGACUUCCAAAAAGCAUUUGAUUCUAUUUGGCAUACAGGACUGUUCUACAAAGUUAUUGAAAGUGGGGUAGGGGGUAAAACAUAUGACAUAAUUAAAUCAAUGUAUACUGGCAAUACAUGCAGCAUUAAAAUUGGUAAGAAAAUAACAUAAUUCUUUAACCAGGGGCGGGGCCUUCGCCAGGGUUGCAAUCUGAGCCCUGCACUCUUCAAUAUUUACAUUAACGAAUUGGCCACUAUUCUAGAAAAAUCCUCAGCCCCUGGUGUUAGUCUCCACAAUUCAGAAGUUAAAUGUCUACUCUUCGCAGAUGACCUAUGCCUGCUGUCACCCCCAGCACAAGGCCUACAGCAGAGCCUGGACCUGCUAGAGCAGUACUGCCAGACCUGGGCCCUGGCAGUAAACCCCCAAAAUACUAAAAUAAUGAUUUUCCAGAGAAGAUCCAGAUCUCAGGUAAUUAGACCAAAGUUCUCAAUUGGUACAAAAUAUAUAGAGUACUGUACACACUACAAUUACUUAGGUUUAAAAAUAAGCUCAACUGGACACCUCAAUGAUGCAGUGAAUGAACUGAGAGAGAAAGCACGCAGGUGUCACAACGUCCACAGAAGGUGGCGCCUCUCCCCGUUCGGGCGGCGCUCGGCGGUUGUUGUCGCCGGCCUACUAGCUGCCACCGAUCUCCUUUUCCGUUUCUUUUGGUAAUGUCUGUGUAGGGUAGCACCUGUUUUGUGUUUAGUAAUUAGUGGGGUAUUUAGUCUGUCUGUUUUUUGUUUGGGGUUGUGCGGGAUUGUUUCGUGUCUGUGAUUGUAUGUUGGGGAUUUAUUCGUUGUUCAGGCCGUUACACAUUUUUGGCAUUAGGGUUACUGGGCUGCGUCCCGGCUCGUUCCAGGACUGUUGAGUCUUCAAGGUAAUUGUUCUACCCUGCCUUGUUUUGUUCGGCAUUGUGGACUGUGGUUUUAUUAAACGUGUGUCCACGUACUUGAGUCUCCUGCGCCUGACUUCACCCCUCCUGCAUAUCUAUUUGUGUGACAGCAGGGCAUUCUACGCCAUUAAAAAGCUAAUUCAAAUUGAAAUACCUAUUCAAAUUUGGCUAAAACUAAUUGAAUAUGUCAUUGAACCAAUUGCACUCUAUGGCAGCGAGGUGUGGGGUCCACUUGCAAAACAAGAUUUCAUCAAAUGGGACAAACACCCCAUUGAAACCCUGCAUGCAGAGUUCUGUAAGAUUUUCCUACAUGUCCAAAGAAAAACUACAAACAAUGCAUGCAGGGCAGAAUUUAGGCCAAUAUCCACUAAUAAUAAAACCUCAAAAAAGAGCAAUUAAGUUUUGGAAACAUCUAAAAUACAGUGACACCCUCUCAUAUCAUUACCAAGCCCUGCAAUGCCAAGAGCUGAGCAAAUAAAAGAGUCCCCUCAUCCAGCUGGUCCUGGGGCUGGGUUCACAAACCUGUUCUACUAACACACUGAAGCCUCAGGACCAGAACAUCCAAUCAAUCAGAAUAAACCAAAUUACAACACAGUCAAAACAAAACUACAUUGCUUAUUGGGAAACACAAGCACAAACACAAAGCAAAAUGCAGUGCUAUCUGGCCCUAAAUCGACAGUACAGUGUGGCUAACUAUUUGACCAUGAUUACUGAUCAAAACCUUAGAAAAACCUUGACAAAGUACAGGCUCAGUGAGCACAGCCUUGCCAUUUAGAAGGGUAGACACAGGAAAACCUGGCUCCCUGUAGAGGAAAGGCUGUGCAACCACUGCACAACAGCAGAACCUGAGACAGAGCUGCAUUUCCUGACAAAACGUAAAAAAUAUAAAACAAUUAGAGAGUGUCAUUUUCCCAAAUGUGAAACCCUUAUUCAAGGUUUCAAAGACCUCUCUGAUGAGGAUAGGCUACCCGUCCUGUUGGGGGAGGACGUAGAGAGCUGUGGGUUGUCAGCGCACUACAUUGCUGCCUGCCAUAAAUUGAGGGACAGCGUCUGACAAACCAAUCAACCUGCACAUGUACUCUACUGUAUGCCUAUUGUUAUUGUUGAAUGUAUGGUUAUUUUGACCCUUGGUUAUUGUUGUUACUGUUGUCCCAUUGACAAUUUUGAUUCUGAUUUUUAUUUACUUUUAUAUUGUAAAUAUCCUAAAUAAGCUUUGGCAAUAUGUACAUUGUUACGUCAUGCCAAUAAAGCGAAUUGAAUUGAAUUGAGAGAGAGAGAGAUUAGUGUUAGAGAUUAGAGAGAGAGAGAGAUUAGUGUUAGCGAUUAGAGAGAGAGAGAGAUUAGUGUUAGCGAUUAGAGAGAGAGAUUAGUGUUAGAGAGAGAGAUUAGUGUUAGAGAUUAGAGAGAGAGAUUAGUGUUAGCGAUUAGAGAGAGAGAGAUUAGUGUUAGCGAUUAGAGAGAGAUUAGUGUUAGCGAUUAGAGAGAGAGAUUAGUGUUAGCGAUUAGAGAGAGAGAAAGAGAGAGAUUAGUGUUAGCGAUUAGAGAGAGAGCGAUUAGAGAGAGAGAUUAGUGUUAGUGAUUAGAGAGAUUGGUGUUAGCGAUUAGAGAGAGAGAUUAGUGUUAGCGAUUAGAGAGAGAGAAAGAGAGAGAUUAGUGUUAGCGAUUAGAGAGAGAGCGAUUAGAGAGAGAUUAGUGUUAGCGAUUAGAGAGAGAGAUUAGUGUUAGCGAUGAGAGAGAGAGAUUUGUGUUAGCAAUUAGAGAGAGAGAGAUUAGUGUUAGAGAUUAGAGAGAGCGAGAGAUUAGUGUUAGCGAUUAGAGAGAGAGAGAUUAGUGUUAGCGAUUUAGAGAGAGAGAGAGAUUAGUGUUAGCGAUUAGAGAGAGAGAGAGAUUAGUGUUAGCGAUUAGAGAGAGAGAGAGAGAUUAGUGUUAGCGAUUAGAGAGAGAGAGAGAUUAGUGUUAGCGAUUAGAGAGAGAGAGAGAGAGAGAGAGAGAGAGAGAAUUAGUGUUAGCUGAUUCACCAGACUGGCUGAUUCUCACUGUUUAUCCUUUUCAAAUGAGUGACACGGACUAAACAGACUAAACAGUGACUGUUUAGUCUCUACAUCUUUGCUCUCUCCACGUCUCCACCACUUUCCACCUCACAGGGUUAGGACUGUAACCACCAGAGGACUUGAAAAUGAGCUGGGGCAGAGAGGAUCACCAAAACUAUAGAGCAUACAACCAUGCCAACAACCAUCCUUGGAGAUCAGUGGACAAAGGGCUGGACAACAGGCCGCACCGAAAAAACGCAUGGUUCCACAGAAUACCAACUGGAAUGAAUCCUGAGGCAAAUGUGGCUUCUUCAUCAACAUCUUUAAGCUUUCGUUAAUAAACUAAUGAUACAAAUACUGUCUCCAGCUUUGAUCCAUCUGGGUUGGCGACCCCCCUUGGGUUGUGCCGUGGCGGAGAUCUUUGUGGGCUAUAGUCGGCCUUGUCUCAGGAUGGUAAGUUGAUGGUUGAAGAUAUCCCUCUAGUGGUGUGGGGGCUGUGCUUUGGCAAAGUGGGUGGGAUUAUAUCCUGCCUGUUUGGCCCUAUCCGGGGGUAUCAUCGGAUGGGGCCACAGUGUCUCCUGACCCCUCCUGUCUCAGCCUCCAGUAUUUAUGCUGCAGUAGUUUAUGUGUCGGGGGGCUAGGGUCAGUCUGUUAUAUCUGGAGUAUUUCUCCUGUCUUAUCUGGUGUCCUGUGUGAAUUUAAGUAUGCUCUCUCUAAUUCUCUUUUUCUCUCUUUCUUUCUCUCUCUCGGAGGACCUGAGCCCUAGGACAAUGCCUCAGGACUACCUGGCAUGAUGAAUCCUUGUUGUCCCCAGUCUACCUGGCCAUGCAGCUGCUCCAGUGUCAGCUGUUUUGUCUGCGGCUAUGGAACCCUGACCUGUUCACUGUGAUUACUAUUAUUUGGUAAUUUAUGAACAUUUCAACAUCUUGGCCAUGUUCUGUUAUAAUCUCCACCCGGCACAGCCAGAAGAGGACUGGCCACCCCUCAUAGCCUGGUUCCUCUCUAGGUUUCUUCCUAGGUUUUGGCCUUUCUAGGGAGUUUUUCCUAGCCACCAUGCUUCUACACCUGCAUUGCUUGCUGUUUGGGGUUUUAGGCUGGGUUUCUGUACAACACUUUGAUAUGCCAGCUGAUGUAAGAAGGGCUAUAUAAAUACAUUUGAUUUGAUGCCUGGGCCUUCAGGACGCAAAGUUCUUUGUUUGUCAGACGAGUCAUUGGGUCGAAACUACAGAACAGUACAAAACAAGAGAACACACAUGGUUAAUGUUCUGAAGAAAAAAAAUAUAUUUACACUGCCGGUCAAAAGUUUUAGAACACCUACUCAUUCAAUGGUUUUUCUUUAUUUUUACUAUUUUCUACAUUGUAGAAUAAUACUGAAGACAUCAAAACUAUGAAGUAACACAUAUGGAAUCAUGUAGUAUCCAAAAAAGUGUUAAACAAAUCAGCAUAUAAAAUGUCUUACAGAGCCUUUCCAUAAGUCAACUCAAGUUUCUUCAACUGUCUUCUGACUGUGAUUAGAGUGAUGUGGAUGUUGUGCUGUGAUGCCAGCAGAUUCCAGACUGGAUUUGCCAAAUGCCCAUCCUCUUCAACCAUCAGUGAGUCGAUGGCUUGAAUAGUCUCGCUAGAAAUUGUAAUGAAAAGCACUAUACAAAGUAAAUGUAUUAUUUAUUAUGGUCUGACAUGGCUGCAGAAAUGUUACAAUUUUGUAAUGCGUUUUGUUUGGUAAAUUGUUUUGUAAAUAUUAAUUCACAUUUGUGGUGCCAC